CCCUACUACUAUUGUGUUAAAUAUACUUAGUCUUGCCUCCGAUUGGUCGACUUACGAGAGCUCUCGUCUAAUAAGUGUCAAAAUAAGGUAUUCUUCGGUGUAUACCUCAACCAGUUGGUGUCAAACGAGCUAGCACAGAUACAUACACGGAAAUCCUUCGUCAUGCCCACCAAGUUCAACGAAGGUGUUUUGCGAGUGCAGAAGUCGAAAUUCCUCGAUCAGACGCAGGAGCUUCAAGAUCUCUAUGAGCUUGCGGUGUUUUCUGGAUGCCCGAUGAGCCCAUUCACAUUUAGAUCUAUCAUGAAUCUUUUGAGAACGAAUGUCCCGCCACAUGCGAUACUAGCCGUGUUAAAGUCGAUGUGCGCAGCUAGGAAGAACGCCGCAAGUGUGAAGAGUUAAAUAAUAACUCUUAUGAUAAAAGGUCUGUCAACGAGAGUUAUUGCAGAUUGAAGUCUACACAUGUCGAGAUUCUAUGUAUACAAUGUCAUUGAACGCUUUAUCUAAAAGGGUACAUAAAAAAUGACUGAACCAAUCGAUUCAAUUGUUUGUGAAAUUUUGUAUGUAAAGAAGUAACAUAUGAUUUAAUAAAAUUAUAUUCAUGAUACACAAUAAAUGAUAAGGUAUUUUAA